rnacentral:rRNA from 1 species
CAUGAAGCCGGAAUCGCUAGUAAUCGCGGAUCAGAAUGCCGCGGUGAAUACGUUCCCGGGUCUUGUACACACCGCCCGUCACACCAUGAGAGCCGGUAACACCCGAAGUCAGUAGCCUAACCGCAAGGGGGGCGCUGCCGAAGGUGGGAUUGGUAAUUGGGGUGAAGUCGUAACAAGGUAUC